AACCGUUCUCUCCUCCCAUAUCACUACCGCCACAGAAGAAGAAGAAAACUUACGCAGAACCCAAACCCGCUAAAACCCUAACAACCCUAAAAUGCCGGACCUGAGAAAACGUGGACGCAAACCCCCCGAAACCGAAACUAUAACCAUGGACUAUCAAUACACCAACCCCACUUCCCAAAACGACGACGCCGCCGUCGCCAAUACUCAUCAUAACCCUUCUUCCCCUCGCCGUACACGUGGCCGCGCCAGACGAAGCCUCACCGAAGACGAAAACAACAGCGGCAACGUUAACAAUUCAAACUCUAACAUCGGCCAUUUGGCUUCACUGGAACGGAGCAGACACGGGGAUGCGAAUGAAAUAACGAUAUUGCCCUCGCGGUGGGACAGCGUGGCAGUUAAAGCCGUGCCGUCGAUGGAUGCUGUCGUGAAAGUGUUUUGUGUGCACACGGAGCCGAAUUUCUCGCUGGCGUGGCAGAGGAAACGGCAGUAUAGUUCGAGUAGUAGUGGCUUUAUUGUGGGGGGAAGAAGAGUUUUAACUAAUGCUCAUUCGGUUGAGCAUCAUACGCAAGUCAAAUUGAAGAAGCGGGGCUCCGAUACGAAAUAUUUGGCCACUGUUUUGUCUAUUGGGACCGAGUGUGAUAUUGCAAUGUUGACUGUUAAUGAUGAUGAGUUCUGGGAAGGAGUUUCACCAGUGGAGUUUGGAGAUUUACCAGCUCUCCAAGAUGCUGUCACUGUUGUGGGGUAUCCGAUUGGGGGUGACACUAUCUCUGUGACAAGUGGGGUUAUUUCACGCAUGGAGAUACUAUCUUAUGCCCAUGGCUCAACUGAACUUCUGGGACUGCAGAUAGAUGCAGCUAUAAAUUCUGGAAAUUCUGGUGGACCUGCAUUUAGUGACAAGGGCAAAUGUGUUGGCAUUGCAUUUCAAUCUCUAAAACAUGAAGAUGUGGAAAAUAUAGGUUAUGUGAUACCCACGCCUGUUAUUAUGCACUUUAUUCAAGAUUAUGAGAGAAAUGGUGCUUACACAGGUUUUCCGAUUCUUGGAGUUGAGUGGCAGAAGAUGGAAAAUCCUGAUUUGCGCAUGGCAAUGGGGAUGAGACGUGCACAAAAGGGUGUUCGCAUUAGAAGAAUUGAACCAACAGCUCCGGAGUCUCAGGUUUUGAAGCCAUCUGAUAUAAUCAUUAGCUUUGAUGGUAUUGAUAUUGCUAAUGAUGGAACAGGGAAAGUUCUUGUGAGGAAUUUAGGGAGGGAAAAGUGGAGUUUACAUUUCUUCCGACUAUUGCCUUAUUGCUCUCAUGUUCCAUUCAGGCAUGGGGAGCGCAUAAGUUUUAGUUACCUAGUUUCUCAAAAGUACACUGGGGAUACUGCUAUUGUAAAAGUUCUCCGAAAUUCAGAAGUUCUAGAAUUCAACAUAAAGCUUGCAACUCAUAAGCGGCUCAUCCCAGCUCACAUCAAUGGCCAACCUCCUUCUUAUUACAUAAUUGCAGGAUUUGUCUUUACAGCUGUAACUGUUCCAUAUCUGCGUUCUGAGUAUGGAAAGGAUUAUGAAUUUGAUGCUCCAGUCAAAUUGCUGGAUAAGCUUUUGCACGCAAUGGCACAAUCUGUGGAUGAACAGGUUGUUGUCAUUUCCCAGGUGCUUGUGGCUGAUGUCAAUAUUGGAUAUGAGGAAAUUGUCAAUACUCAGGUUCUUGCUUUCAAUGGUAAGCCUGUGAGGAAUCUUAAAAGCCUAGCUGACAUGGUUGAGAGUUGUGAAGAUGAAUAUUUAAAAUUUGAUCUGGAGUACCAACAGAUAGUGGUCCUACAGACUAAGGCAGCCAAGGCAGCCACCUCUUUCAUCCUUUCAACACAUUGCAUACCUUCUGCUAUGUCAGAUGAUCUCAAAACCUGAGAGAUUGUUGAAACUAAGAAAGCUGGGAGGAUUGGACUGUAGGUUUUGCUGAACCUAGAAGCAUCUUUUGAUUAAUUCUUUUUAUUCCCUGCUUCAGCUGAAAUUUUGUCAGAGAUUUCAUCUUUUGCGGAGCCAGAGAACACAUCAGAAUAUCAACUUUUGGUCAGGCUGAUCAUGGAAAAAUUUUGAUGAUCUUACGUUCUCCAGCUGAAUGCUUGUCAUAAAGAGGAUUUUCAUUCCAUCAUUGUCUUUUCUAUGGACAAUAUGCCAUUGUCUGUAUGAAAUUUGUCUCCUGUUUGUUACAAUAUAGAUGUUCUAAUUAUCCUCAAGUUGCUUCCAUAGAUUGUUGAAAAGCCCCUUGCUAUGUUAAUCUUCGGGUGAAACCAUGUGAGAGGUAUGAUCCUCUUGUAUACAAUGACUGGCAAAUUUACAAGGGAAAUACAAGAAUACUGUUUGGGUGUAAA